AGAUGGGCUGCCCAGAGUGUUUCUGAGACUGCUGAUCUUUUGGGGUUUUUCCAUAAAAACAUCUCCAGGGUUUCUAGAGAUUGGUCCAAAGAAAGAGAAAAUAUCCAGUGAGUCGUAGUUCUCUGGGUGAAAAUGCCUAAUUGAUGCCAGAGGACGAAGAAAGACCAGACUGCUUCCAGAUGAUAGCUUUUCUAGUCUGCAUACGUAAGUUUGGACACCAACAUCUGUCCACCUGUGCUUCAGUUUCUGGCCUCAUGUCACGACCAAUUUUGACCAGAAAGAUGACGCCGGCGUUUCAACCAUGUUCGCUGGGUUAGCUGAUGGCGCACACUUUCCUGAGGACACGAUGCUUGAGCUACUACCAGGCUUAGUCCAAUACUCCAGAGCUGACUGUUGCCUCACCACACCAUUAAGUAGCUCUGCUCAAGAUGGCGGACGAUUGGAGGCAGCUGG